rnacentral:rRNA from 1 species
GAUGAACGCUGGCGGCGUGCCUAAUACAUGCAAGUCGAGCGAACGGACGAGAAGCUUGCUCCCCUGAUGUUAGCGGCGGACGGGUGAGUAACACGUGGAUAACCUACCUAUAAGACUGGGAUAACUUCGGGAAACCGGAUCUAAUACCGGAUAAUAUUUUGUACCGCAUGGUUCAAAAGUGAAAGACGGUCUUGCUGUUACUUAUAGAUGGAUCCGCGCUGCAUUAGCUAGUUGGUAAGGUAACGGCUCACCAAGGCAACGAUGCAUAGCCGACCUGAGAGGGUGAUCGGCCACACUGGAACUGAGACACGGUCCAGACUCCUACGGGAGGCAGCAGUGGGGAAUCUUCCGCAAUGGGCGAAAGCCUGACGGAGCAACGCCGCGUGGGUGAUGAAGGUCUUCGGAUCGUAAAACUCUGUUAUUGGGGAAGAACAUAUGUGUAAGUAACUGUGCACAUCUUGACGGUACCUAAUCAGAAAGCCACGGCUAACUACGUG